AGUGGCAUUGCUGGGUCAUAUGGUAAGUCUAUGUGUGACUUUUCAAGUUGCUGCCAGACUGUUUUCCAAUGUGGCUGUACCAUUUUGCAUUCCCACCAGCAGU
rnacentral:pre_miRNA from 1 species